CUCGAGGCCAGAUCUUUCCGGUUGAUCCUGCCGGACCCGACCGCUAUCGGGGUAGGGCUAAGCCAUGGGAGUCGAACGCCCCGCCGCUGCGGGGCGUGGCGGACGGCUGAGUAACACGUGGCUAACCUACCCUCGGGACGGGGAUAACCCCUCGGGAAACUGGGGCUAAUCCCCGAUAGGCGGGGGGUGCCUGGAAGGGUCCUCCGCCGAAAGGGGCCGCGGGGGGUUAUCGCCCGCGGUCCGCCCGAGGAUGGGGCUGCGGCCCAUCACGGUAGUUGGCGGGGUAAUGGCCCGCCAAGCCUACGACGGGUAGGGGCCGUGAGAGCGGGGGCCCCCAGAUGGGCACUGAGACAAGGGCCCAGGCCCUACGGGGCGCACCAGGCGCGAAAACUCCGCAAUGCGGGCAACCGUGACGGGGCUACCCCGAGUGCCCCCCUUGGGGGGGCUUUUCCCCGCUGUAAGUAGGCGGGGGAAUAAGCGGGGGGCAAGACUGGUGUCAGCCGCCGCGGUAAUACCAGCCCCGCGAGCGGUCGGGGUGUUUACUGGGCCUAAAGCGCCCGUAGCCGGCUCGACAAGUCCCCGCCUAAA
rnacentral:rRNA from 1 species